UUUCAAGUUUUAUUCCUUGAACACUUACUAUUCAUUGUUCAUUUUGAGCUUUGUAAUUGAUGGUUUUCAUUCACUUUUUCAAUAGCAUUUUGAAUUUUGUCCAUCUAGGAAAACAAAAUUUUCACCAAAUUUCUUUUUCUGGUGGUAUAUAGCUUCCUCACUCACAAGGAUUUACGUUUAAGAUAUUUGAUGGUAGCAAUUAAUUAGGUUAAUAGGCCCAAGUUGUGAUGACCAAGUUUAUUUUUAUUUUUAUUUUCUUUUUAUAUUUUUUUUUAAUUGCAUUUUGUUAUGUUGCCUAGGUUGACUAGUGGGUGAAAUAUGUGUGGAUGAGAAUGUGUGUGACAUGUAUAUGUGUGUGUAUAGAGAGAUAAAGUGUAAGAUAGACCAAAAAUCCUCUCAUUUCUCUCACUCCACCGACACUCUCUCUUUUCUCUCCCAUUCUUUUAUUUUUCAUUUUACUUCCAUUUCUCCACCAUUUCACCUCCAACCUUUGAGAUUUUGAGCCUGCAUAGAAGGGAAGUUGACGAGGACUACGAGAGGAACAAAACCCCUAAAUCAAUUUUGGAUUUGGAGCACAUUUUUCUUUUGGAGUAGCUAGGGUUUGCUCCUAACUUGAGGAAAGGGCAUUGCCCAAGAGGAGAUUCCUCAUCCCUAUCUUGAUUGGGAUCUUGACAACAUUUUUGAGCUACUUGUGAUAAUUGUGACAUCCAUUGUGUAACUUACUUUUCGACUUGUAUUUUGACACAUGGUGUAUUUUGGAUAUUAUAUUUGAUAACAUGUUUGUAAUAUUUUUUUGGAGGAGAGAAAUGACGUAGGAACUCACCCAUCUAUCUUUUAGAGUUCUUAUGAAAUGUCCUUUCAUAUCUUUACUCAUGUAACCCCUUAACAUUAUUUCUCGGAUUGUAAUGAGGCUAUGGUGGCCAUGACUUAUAUAGUGGGAUUGAACAAUUAUUGUUUAAGUUGUGUA